UACGUAGGGUGCAAGCGUUAAUCGGAAUUACUGGGCGUAAAGCGUGCGCAGGCGGUUUUGUAAGUCAGAUGUGAAAUCCCCGGGCUUAACCUGGGAACUGCGUUUGAAACUACAAGGCUAGAGUGUGACAGAGGGGGGUGGAAUUCCACGUGUAGCAGUGAAAUGCGUAGAGAUGUGGAGGAACACCGAUGGCGGAAGGCAGCCCCCUGGGUUAACACUGACGCUCAGGCACGAAAGCGUGGGGAGCAAACAGG
rnacentral:rRNA from 1 species